rnacentral:lncRNA from 1 species
GUGAAAUGAACUGUGCUCUUCCAAACCGAAGCACCUCUCGCAAUGGCGAGAAGGCUCUCUCUGCGCCCGCGAGUUUCCCGGCCCGGCUUUCGCGUCAUGACCUUCAACCCAGCUCUCCGCGACCCACUGACAUGCAGCGAGUUAUUGACUAGAUAAGGAUGGCUUUGCAGAGGAUCAUAAAACAUGGCUGAACAGAGGAUCUCCCAAAGUGCUCAAGUCGGUGUUUUUUCCCUAAAUGGAUGUGAA